ACUUUUGGUGUCAUGUAAUACGCAUGGCAUGAGAAAACAAUGUCAAAAACCUAAAAAAUUAUCAAAAUUCAAAAAAAUAUUAUAAAAUAUUUAAUAAAGGCACCGAUUUUCACAUCUUUUCUUUGUCUGCUAAAGAGCUUUUAGGAAAUGGAUGAUUCAUAUCUUGUGAAAAAAUCGUGUUUCAAAAUUCGAAGCGGUGAAAAAGUGUGCAGUGGAUCAUUGUGGACCAAACUUUUGAGAAAAAAUUCUAAUAUUAGUUAACCGCUCCUGAAGUAUUGGCAUUAAGAAAACUUGAAUUCAACUUAUAAUAUAUCUGACGUCUAAGCCUCUAAAGUCACUUCUCAGCUUAGUAGACUCAUGGCUAACAUAGGAGGUUCAACUCAAGAGAAAAGGAAGCUUGUCAUUGCGGCAACCCUUAACAUCUUACUGUAUGGAGCCGAGCUUUUGGCGGACUCACUUAAGAAGUAUAAUAGGCGAAUGGUACUGGUCAAAGCAUACCGCGGAUUUGAGGGUAGCGUCGGCAUACCGUACAGUAUCAGGGAAAGCUAUAGCUGUAAUAAGCGGAAGGGUUCCCAUCGAAGUAUUGACAGGCGAAAUAAAAAGAAACUGGACGCUCAAAAAAAUGAAGAACCAAGGCCGCACUGUCAAUACAAAUAGAGGGAACAUAAGGAAAGAAACUUUGAACCAGUGGCAAGCCCGAUGGGAAGAAGGAAGUCAUGGCUGAUGGAUGGCUAGAUUAAUAGCAGACGCCAGAAUAUGGACAACUAGGAAAUUCGGGGAUGUUUACUACUACAUUGUCUAGAAGUUGACUGGUCACGGAUAUUUCAGGAAGAUGACGCCAAUCAUACAAUCUUUCAAUGCACUCGCUAGCAAGUCGCGAGAAUCAGACUUGAAAACACAGUUGGAGAACUAAAAGUAGAUAACAUUUUCUCAAUUAUUCCACAAAGCGAAGCAAACUGGGUUAAUAUCAAGAGGUUCGCAGAAAAAGUAUUACGAGACGCGAAAAAUGGAACGCCACCCUGAAAUAAUGCGAAAGCGGCUCCACGGUGGGCGACAGUUCCCUAGAGGAGAGUUUUUUAGUGAUCUGCAAGUGGCACAUACCAUUGAUAUGACAACACAAUGAUGAAGCAUUUUUCUUCUCCUCACCCGUAAAAAAAAGAAGA